rnacentral:rRNA from 1 species
UACGUAGGGGGCAAGCGUUGUUCGGAAUUACUGGGCGUAAAGCAUCCGUAGCCGGUCCUGCAAGUCUUCCGUUAAAUCCAGCUGCUCAACAGAUGGGCUGCGGGGGAUACUACAGGGCUAGGAGGCGGGAGAGGCAAGCGGUACUUUAUGGGUAGGGGUAAAAUCCGUUGAUCCAUAGAAGACCACCAGUGGCGAAGGCGGCUUGCCAGAACGCGCUCGACGGUGAGGGAUGAAAGCUGGGGGAGCAAACCGG